rnacentral:rRNA from 1 species
AACAAACGCUGGCGGCGUGCCUAAUACAUGCAAGUCGAACGGGGAAAGCUUUCGGGUGAGUACUAGUGGCGCACGGGUGAGGAACGCGUGGAUAAUCUGCCUUAGAGUGGGGGAUAACUAGUCGAAAGAUUAGCUAAUACCGCAUAAGACCACAGGAGCUGCGGCUCAAGGGGUCAAAGGUUUUUCGCUCUAAGAUGAGUCCGCGUAAGAUUAGCUAGUUGGUGAGGUAACGGCUCACCAAGGCGACGAUCUUUAACUGGUCUGAGAGGAUGAUCAGUCACACUGGAACUGAGACACGGUCCAGACUCCUACGGGAGGCAGCAGUAGGGAAUAUUGCACAAUGGAGGAAACUCUGAUGCAGCGACGCCGCGUGAGUGAUGAAGGCCUUCGGGUCGUAAAGCUCUGUCGCAGGGGAAUAACACAAUGAAUGUACCCUGUAAGAAAGGAUCGGCUAACUUCGUGCCAGCCGCCGCGGUAAUAC